UUGGUCUGCCCAAUGACUUCCAGACUACAAGGAUAAAGCUGGAGAUCAGGCUGGAAACGUGAUAUGGAAAACAUUAGUAAAAUAGAGUCUUCGCUCAUUAUAGAACAAGCAAGAAAUGUGGGGAAGAAAAUGAAUCAACAUAACUAAGAAUAUGCUAAAAAUAAGUAAUAAAAAGAUGGGCAAAUUUUUUUUAAUAUUUGUA